rnacentral:rRNA from 1 species
UACGGAGGAUCCGAGCGUUAUCCGGAUUUAUUGGGUUUAAAGGGAGCGUAGGUGGAUUGUUAAGUCAGUUGUGAAAGUUUGCGGCUCAACCGUAAAAUUGCAGUUGAAACUGGCAGUCUUGAGUACAGUAGAGGUGGGCGGAAUUCGUGGUGUAGCGGUGAAAUGCUUAGAUAUCACGAAGAACUCCGAUCGCGAAGGCAGCUCACUGGACUGCAACUGACACCGAGGCUCGAAAGUGUGGGUAUCAAACAGG